rnacentral:rRNA from 1 species
CACACCGGAACUGAGACACGGUCCGGACUCCUACGGGAGGCAGCAGUAGGGAAUAUUGGACAAUGGGCGAAAGCCUGAUCCAGCAAUGCCGCGUGUGUGAAGAAGGCCUGCGGGUUGUAAAGCACUUUCAGCAGGGAAGAAAAAGGCAGAAUUAAUACUUCUGCCCUUGACGUUACCUGGAGAAGAAGCACCGGCUAACUCCGUGCCAGCAGCCGCCGUAAAAC